rnacentral:rRNA from 1 species
GAUGAACGCUGGCGGCGUGCCUAAUACAUGCAAGUCGAGCGAACACAUCCGGAGCUUGCUCCGCUGACGUUAGCGGCGGACGGGUGAGUAACACGUGGAUAACCUACCUAUAAGACUGGGAUAACUUCGGGAAACCGGAGCUAAUACCGGAUAAUAUAUUGAACCGCAUGGUUCAAUAGUGAAAAACGGUUUUGCUGUCACUUAUAGAUGGAUCCGCGCGGCAUUAGCUAGUUGGUAAGGUAACGGCUUACCAAGGCAACGAUGCGUAGCCGACCUGAGAGGGUGAUCGGCCACACUGGAACUGAGACACGGUCCAGACUCCUACGGGAGGCAGCAGUAGGGAAUCUUCCGCAAUGGGCGAAAGCCUGACGGAGCAACGCCGCGUGAGUGAUGAAGGUCUUCGGAUCGUAAAACUCUGUUAUUAGGGAAGAACAAGUGUGUAAGUAACUAUUCACGUCUUGACGGUACCUAAUCAGAAAGCCACGGCUAACUACGUG